ACAAAGUGAGAUCCUGUCAAUAUUAAAAAAAACAAAUAAGUAAGUAAAACAGAGGAGAAGGAAAGGCAGAUGAAGGAUCUCGGUGUGCUCUGAUUGGGAUUGUUGGCAUGAGAACCUGGAGGUAAACUGGGUAUGUGAUUGGUCGGAGGGGCAUAGUUAGAUUUUCUGGUUGGUUCUGAGUUGGAAGCAGGGACCAAAAAAAUAAAAAAAUAAAGAAUAAAACAUAAAUAAAAACAUUGGGAUUGUAUUUCCAGGUUGGUUGCUUCGUAGAUUGUGGGUCAGAGUUUUACUGCCAUAUAUGACCAGGGUGCAUUCUAUAUUCAGUCUGAUAAUAGUAGAAAUCAAAUGGAGUCAUUAUUCGGGGAACAAGGAAAGUGAUGUGCUCUGAAAGGGCUUGAGUUUGGUGCACUUGGGAUGCGAGGUUUGGUGUCUUUUGUUUUGGGGGCUAGGCCUGUGAUUUGUCAGUUCUCCAAAAGUAGUUAUACUGUAAGAAGCUACCUACUAAACCCAUAUCUACUAAACGAAUCUACUAGGGAUAUAUAAUGGAAAAAAUUCAUUAUGUAAAGUGGAGGGCAUAUUUUGUUUAGCAAUUGAAUAUUCUCUUUCUUGAUGGUGAGUUAUGCAGAAAUACCCAUUGAAUGCUACCAAAUUUAAAAAAGCCAAGGUGUUCUGCAAUGUAUUUGUACUAGUCAUUCUCAAUCUGAGAGAACAUUAGAGUCAUCUUAGAUGAUUUAAAUCUGCAGUGGUACUGGUCCUGAACCAGAGAUCCCAGUAUGAUUGAUGUGGAGUGGGGCCGGGCACUGCCAUUUCUUAAAGCUGUCCUGGUGAUUUUAAUGUGUAGCUAGUAUUGAGAUCACUGGUUUAGAGCAAAGGGUAGAAAAUAAUAAUAAUAAUAAUAAUAAUUUUG